AUCAUGUUCCAAUGCAUGUGAGUAUUCAAUCAAAGAACUUUGGUUGUUUUCCAGAAUUGGCUCUUUCUUAAAGGUCAAAAC
rnacentral:lncRNA from 1 species